rnacentral:rRNA from 1 species
AACGAACGUUAGCGGCGCGCCUAACACAUGCAAGUCGUGCGAGAAAGGGCUUCGGCCCCGGUACAGCGGCGCACGGGUGAGUAACACGUAGGUCAUCUACCCUUGAGUGGGGGAUAACCCUCCGAAAGGAGGGCUAAUACCGCAUGACGCCGGCAACGGCCAAAGCGGGCCUCUCCAUGGAAGCUCGCGCUUGAGGAUGAGCCUGCGGCCCAUCAGCUAGUUGGUAGGGUAACGGCCUACCAAGGCAAAGACGGGUAGCUGGUCUGAGAGGAUGGUCAGCCACACUGGAACUGAGACACGGUCCAGACUCCUACGGGAGGCAGCAGUGGGGAAUCUUGCGCAAUGGGCGAAAGCCUGACGCAGCGACGCCGCGUGAGCGAUGAAGGCCUUCGGGUUGUAAAGCUCUGUGGGGAGGAAAGAAUAAGGGCGUGCUAAUACCACGUCUGAUGACGGUACCUCCUUAGCAAGCACCGGCUAACUCUGUGCCAGCAGCCGCGGUAAGACAGAGGGUGCAAACGUUGUUCGGAAUCACUGGGCGUAAAGGGCGUGUAGGCGGCUUGGAAAGUCGGAUGUGAAAGCCCGCGGCUCAACCGCGGAAGUGCACCCGAUACUACCGAGCUAGAGUCCCGGAGAGGAUGGUGGAAUGCUUGGUGUAGAGGUGAAAUUCGUAGAUAUCAAGCGGAACACCGGUGGCGAAGGCGGCCAUCUGGACGGUGACUGACGCUGAGACGCGAAAGCGUGGGGAGCAAACAGGAUUAGAUACCCUGGUAGUCCACGCCGUAAACGAUGAGUGCUAGGUGUCACGGGCUUUGACCCUCGUGGUGCCGAAGCUAACGCGUUAAGCACUCCGCCUGGGGAGUACGGCCGCAAGGCUA